AUACGGAGGGUGCGAGCGUUACUCGGAAUCACUGGGCGUAAAGCGCGCGCAGGCGGCUUGAUAAGUUGGAUGUGAAAGCCUACGGCUCAACCGUAGAACUGCAUCCAAAACUGUCAGGCUAGAGUGUGGGAGAGGAAGAUGGAAUUAGUUGUGUAGGGGUAAAAUCCGUAGAGAUAACUAGGAAUACCAAAAGCGAAGGCAAUCUUCUGGAACACUACUGACGCUGAGGCGCGAAGGCGUGGGGAGCAAACAGGAUUAGAAACCCCAGUAGUCC
rnacentral:rRNA from 1 species